GUGGGGAAUCUUGCGCAAUGGGCGAAAGCCUGACGCAGCCAUGCCGCGUGAAUGAUGAAGGUCUUAGGAUUGUAAAAUUCUUUCACCGGGGACGAUAAUGACGGUACCCGGAGAAGAAGCCCCGGCUAACUUCGUGCCAGCAGCAGCGGUAAUACGAAGGGGGCUAGCGUUGCUCGGAAUUACUGGGCGUAAAGGGCGCGUAGGCGGAUCGUUAAGUCAGGGGUGAAAUCCCAGAGCUCAACUCUGGAACUGCACUUGAUACUGGCGAUCUUGAGUGUGAGAGAGGUAAGUGGAACUCCGAGUGUAGAGGUGAAAUUCGUAGAUAUUCGGAAGAACACCAGUGGCGAAGGCGACAUACUGGCUCAUUACUGACUCUGAGGCGCGAAAGCGUGGGGAGCAAACAGGAUUAGAAACCCUGGUAGUCC
rnacentral:rRNA from 1 species